GACAGCAGCCGCCGCGGGAAUACGUAGGGUGCAAGCGUUAUCCGGAAUUAUUGGGCGUAAAGAGCUCGCAGGCGGUUUCUUAAGUCUGAUGUGAGAGCCCCCGGCUCAACCGGGGAGGGUCAUUGGAAACUGGGAAACUUGAGUGCAGAAGAGGAGAGUGGAAUUCCACGUGUAGCGGUGAAAUGCGUAGAGAUGUGGAGGAACACCAGUGGCGAAGGCGACUCUCUGGUCUGUAACUGACGCUGAGGAGCGAAAGCGUGGGGAGCGAACAGGAUUAGAGACCCGUGUAGUCCCUGUCUCUUAUAC
rnacentral:rRNA from 1 species